rnacentral:rRNA from 1 species
AUUGAACGCUGGCGGCAGGCCUAACACAUGCAAGUCGAGCGGAUGAAGGGAGCUUGCUCCUGGAUUCAGCGGCGGACGGGUGAGUAAUGCCUAGGAAUCUGCCUGGUAGUGGGGGAUAACGUCCGGAAACGGGCGCUAAUACCGCAUACGUCCUGAGGGAGAAAGUGGGGGAUCUUCGGACCUCACGCUAUCAGGUGAGCCUAGGUCGGAUUAGCUAGUUGGUGGGGUAAAGGCCUACCAAGGCGACGAUCCGUAACUGGUCUGAGAGGAUGAUCAGUCACACUGGAACUGAGACACGGUUCAGACUCCUACGGGAGGCAGCAGUGGGGAAUAUUGGACAAUGGGCGAAAGCCUGAUCCAGCCAUGCCGCGUGUGUGAAGAAGGUCUUCGGAUUGUAAAGCACUUUAAGUUGGGAGGAAGGGCAGUAAGUUAAUACCUUGCUGUUUUGACGUUACCAACAGAAUAAGCACCGGCUAACUUCGUG